rnacentral:misc_RNA from 1 species
GUUACAUCAAAUUGUAUGAGAUUGUAAGCAUGACUUGCUAUUCUCUACAUGUUCUUAUUUUUGUCAAAUUUUCAUUCUCUAAAUUUACAUUAACAAAAGGAUUGGUGGUUGCAAGUUUUAGCUUCUAGAUCCAGUAGGAUAUUUUAUGGUUGAUUCUUUGCUUAGAACUAUUUUUAAGACUUGAGAUAAAUAGACAACUUAGGUAGGCAUUCCUUUUUCACUGUGGGCUAUAAAG